rnacentral:rRNA from 1 species
CCUACGGGUGGCUGCAGUGGGGAAUAUUGCACAAUGGGGGAAACCCUGAUGCAGCGACGCCGCGUGAGUGAAGAAGUAUCUCGGUACGUAACGCUCUAUCAGCAGGGAAGAAAAUGACGGUACCUGACUAAGAAGCCCCGGCUAACUACGUGCCAGCCGCCGCGGUAAUACGUAGGGGGCAAGCGUUAUCCGGAUUUACUGGGUGAAAAGGGAGCGUAGACGGCAGCACAAGUCUGGAGUGAAAUCCCGGGGCUUAAACCCGGAACUGCUUUGGAAACUGUGCGGCUGGAGUGCAGGAGGGGUAAGCGGAAUUCCUAGGGUAGCGGUGAAAUGCGUAGAUAUUAGGAGGAACACCGGUGGCGAAGGCGGCUUACUGGACUGUAACUGACGUUGAGGCUCGAAAGCGUGGGGAGCAAACAGGAUUAGAUAACCCUGUAGUC